rnacentral:rRNA from 1 species
UAGGGAAUCUUCGGCAAUGGACGGAAGUCUGACCGAGCAACGCCGCGUGAGUGAAGAAGGUUUUCGGAUCGUAAAGCUCUGUUGUAAGAGAAGAACGAGUGUGAGAGUGGAAAGUUCACACUGUGACGGUAUCUUACCAGAAAGGGACGGCUAACUACGUGCCAGCAGCCGCGGUAAUACGUAGGUCCCGAGCGUUGUCCGGAUUUAUUGGGCGUAAAGCGAGCGCAGGCGGUUAGGUAAGUCUGAAGUUAAAGGCUGUGGCUUAACCAUAGUAGGCUUUGGAAACUGUUUAACUUGAGUGCAAGAGGGGAGAGUGGAAUUCCAUGUGUAGCGGUGAAAUGCGUAGAUAUAUGGAGGAACACCGGUGGCGAAAGCGGCUCUCUGGCUUGUAACUGACGCUGAGGCUCGAAAGCGUGGGGAGCAAACAGGAUUAGAUACCCUGGUAGUCCACGCUGUAAACGAUGAGUGCUAGGUGUUAGACCCUUUCCGGGGUUUAGUGCCGUAGCUAACGCAUUAAGCACUCCGCCUGGGGAGUACGACCGCAAGGUUG